GACGAACGCUGGCGGCGUGCCUAAUACAUGCAAGUUGAGCGCUGAAGGUUGGUUCUUGUACCAACUGGAUGAGCAGCGAACGGGUGAGUAACGCGUGGGGAAUCUGCCUUUGAGCGGGGGACCACAUUUGGAAACGAAUGCUAAUACCGCAUAAAAACUUUAAACACAAGUUUUAAGUUUGAAAGAUGCAAUUGCAUCACUCAAAGAUGAUCCCUCGUUGUAUUAGCUAGUUGGUGAGGUAAAGGCUCAACAAGGCGAUGAUACAUAGCCGACCUGAGAGGGUGAGCGGCCAAAUUGGGACUGGGACACGGCCCAAACUCCUACGGGAGGCAGCAGUAGGGAAUCUUCGGCAAUAGACGAAAGUCUGACCGAGCAACGCCGCGUGAGGGAAGAAGGUUGUCGGAUCGUAAAAGUCUGUUGGUAGGGAAGAAAGUGGGUGAGAGUGGAAAGCUCAUCAAGUGACGGUAACUACCCAGAAAGGGACGGCUAACUACGUG
rnacentral:rRNA from 1 species